CGGAACACGUACAGAACCUUCCUUUAAGCGGGGAAUAGCCCAGAGAAAUUUGGAUUAAUACCCCAUAGUAUUGUUUGGUGGCAUCAUUAGACAAUUAAAGAUUUAUCACUUAAAGAUGGCUGUGCGUAUGAUUAGGUAGUUGGUGCAGGUAACGGCUCACCAAGCCUACGAUCAUUAACUGGUGUGAGAGCACGACCAGUCACACGGGCACUGAGACACGGGCCCG
rnacentral:rRNA from 1 species